GGGUCAGUAGGUUGGUCGUGCCACCGGUACGUACUGGUCUCACUGAUUCCUCCUUCCUGAAGAACCGUAAUGCCAUUAAUUUGGUGUUACGGGGAAACGGGACUGUUACUUUGAAAAAAUUAGAGUGUUUAAAGCAAGCUAACGCUUGAAUACAUUAGCAUGGAAUAAUGAAAUAGGACGAUCGAUCCUAUUUUGUUGGUUUCUAGGAUUGACGUA
rnacentral:rRNA from 1 species